GCGUACGCUGGCGGCAGGCCUAACACAUGCAAGUCGAACGAACCUUUCGGGGUUAGUGGCGGACGGGUGAGUAACACGUGGGAACGUGCCUUUAGGUUCGGAAUAACUCAGGGAAACUUGUGCUAAUACCGAAUGUGCCCUUCGGGGGAAAGAUUUAUCGCCUUUAGAGCGGCCCGCGUCUGAUUAGCUAGUUGGUUGAGGUAAUGGCUCACCAAGGCGACGAUCAGUAGCUGGUCUGAGAGGAUGAUCAGCCACAUUGGGACUGAGACACGGCCCAAACUCCUACGGGAGGCAGCAGUGGGGAAUCUUGCGCAAUGGGCGAAAGCCUGACGCAGCCAUGCCGCGUGAAUGAUGAAGGUCUUAGGAUUGUAAAAUUCUUUCACCGGGGACGAUAAUGACGGUACCCGGAGAAGAAGCCCCGGCUAACUUCGUG
rnacentral:rRNA from 1 species